rnacentral:rRNA from 1 species
UGAGGAAUCUUGCACAAUGGGCGAAAGCCUGAUGCAGCGACGCCGCGUGAGCGAUGAAGGCCUUCGGGUUGUAAAGCUCUGUGGGGAGGGACGAAUAGGCACUGGCCAAUAUCCAGUGUGAUGACGGUACCUCCUUAGCAAGCACCGGCUAACUCUGUGCCAGCAGCCGCGGUAAGACAGAGGGUGCAAACGUUGUUCGGAAUUACUGGGCGUAAAGCGCGUGUAGGCGGCUACGUAAGUCGGACGUGAAAUCCCACGGCUCAACUGUGGAAGUGCGCUCGAAACUGUGUAGCUUGAGUCCUGGAGAGGAAGACGGAAUACUUGGUGUAGAGGUGAAAUUCGUAGAUAUCAGGUAGAACACCAGUGGCGAAGGCGGUCUUCUGGACAGUGACUGACGCUGAGACGCGAAAGCGUGGGGAGCAAACAGG